UACAGCUUCUUUGCAAACUAACG
rnacentral:snRNA from 1 species